AUGAACGCUAGCUACAGGCUUAACACAUGCAAGUCGAGGGGCAGCAUUUCAGUUUGCUUGCAAACUGGAGAUGGCGACCGGCGCACGGGUGAGUAACACGUAUCCAACCUGCCGAUAACUCGGGGAUAGCCUUUCGAAAGAAAGAUUAAUACCCGAUGGUAUAAUCAGACCGCAUGGUCUUGUUAUUAAAGAAUUUCGGUUAUCGAUGGGGAUGCGUUCCAUUAGGCAGUUGGUGAGGUAACGGCUCACCAAACCUUCGAUGGAUAGGGGUUCUGAGAGGAAGGUCCCCCACAUUGGAACUGAGACACGGUCCAAACUCCUACGGGAGGCAGCAGUGAGGAAUAUUGGUCAAUGGGCGCAGGCCUGAACCAGCCAAGUAACGUGAAGGAUGACUGCCCUAUGGGUUGUAAACUUCUUUUAUAUGGGAAUAAAGUUUUCCACGUGUGGAAUUUUGUAUGUACCAUACGAAUAAGCAUCGGCUAACUCCGUGCCAGCAGCCGCGGUAAUACGGAGGAUCCGAGCGUUAUCCGGAUUUAUUGGGUUUAAAGGGAGCGUAGGUGGACAGUUAAGUCAGUUGUGAAAGUUUGCGGCUCAACCGUAAAAUUGCAGUUGAUACUGGCUGUCUUGAGUACAGUAGAGGUGGGCGGAAUUCGUGGUGUAGCGGUGAAAUGCUUAGAUAUCACGAAGAACUCCGAUUGCGAAGGCAGCUCACUGGACUGCAACUGACACUGAUGCUCGAAAGUGUGGGUAUCAAACAGGAUUAGAUACCCUGGUAGUCCACACAGUAAACGAUGAAUACUCGCUGUUUGCGAUAUACAGUAAGCGGCCAAGCGAAAGCAUUAAGUAUUCCACCUGGGGAGUACGCCGGCAACGGUGAAACUCAAAGGAAUUGACGGGGGCCCGCACAAGCGGAGGAACAUGUGGUUUAAUUCGAUGAUACGCGAGGAACCUUACCCGGGCUUAAAUUGCAUUUGAAUAUAUUGGAAACAGUAUAGCCGUAAGGCAAAUGUGAAGGUGCUGCAUGGUUGUCGUCAGCUCGUGCCGUGAGGUGUCGGCUUAAGUGCCAUAACGAGCGCAACCCUUAUCUUUAGUUACUAACAGGUCAUGCUGAGGACUCUAGAGAGACUGCCGUCGUAAGAUGUGAGGAAGGUGGGGAUGACGUCAAAUCAGCACGGCCCUUACGUCCGGGGCUACACACGUGUUACAAUGGGGGGUACAGAAGGCAGCUACCUGGUGACAGGAUGCUAAUCCCAAAAGCCUCUCUCAGUUCGGAUCGAAGUCUGCAACCCGACUUCGUGAAGCUGGAUUCGCUAGUAAUCGCGCAUCAGCCAUGGCGCGGUGAAUACGUUCCCGGGCCUUGUACACACCGCCCGUCAAGCCAUGAAAGCCGGGGGUACCUGAAGUACGUAACCGCAAGGAGCGUCCUAGGGUAAAACUGGUAAUUGGGGCUAAG
rnacentral:rRNA from 1 species